UAGGGUGAUCACCAUCCUUGUUUGCCUGGAACUGAGGGAUUUCCCAGGAUGUAGGACUUUCCAGAGCAAAUCCAGGUCAGUCCCAGGCAAGCAGGCAUUGUUGGUCACCCUAGACCCUA
rnacentral:pre_miRNA from 1 species